rnacentral:lncRNA from 1 species
UUUUUAUACAAGCAUCAAUAUCAAUCAAAUGACACAAUAUUAUCAUGUUUAUCAAAAUACAAGAGAGUGGGAGAGAUGAAACUCAAUCCCUAUUUUUCCAACUAAAGCAACAAAUUAUUUGACUUGUUUUCUUAUUAAUCAUUGUUAUCUCAACAACUUUCAAUACAGUUUUAUUAUUCUAUUUUAUAUUUAGUGAAUAUUUUACUUGAUUAUACAACUGUUUCUUGUGGGUUCGAUAUCUGUUCUUAGACACACAUUGUUACUUCUGACUACGCGGUGCACUUUCCGUAAAAGUCAUCAUGAUUGCAUGGGGUUCUUCUUCCUCUGUGUUUGAAGUAUCCAAUACCGCAAUACCACCAUUAACACCAUCACCCUUAACCUUAUUUCUUCUUUGGCAUCUACGCCAUAUGAAACAGAUUAUAGCAACCUUCACAAUAACGGCACCUGCAUUAAGAUCAUUAGAGCAUUAUUCAGUCAUAGCAAAAAGGUCUUGCAAAUAAAUCAAUAGAAAACAGAAAAUGAAAACAACAAAUAUGACAGUUUAAAUCCUACCUAUGACAAUGGGAGGAAUUACAGUUCCCGAAUUGUUGCUGUUAGAGCUGGUGUAGGACAUUGGAAAAAAUAUAAUAAUAAUUCAAGUCACUGCAGUUGAUUGUAAAGAACACUGUGCAAGGUUGCAGUUU